UUGUGGAGCGAUUUGUCUGGUCAUUUCCGAUAACAAACGCUUAAACUUCUUAGAGGGACAGGUGGCGUUUAGCCACACGAGAUUGAGCAACAACA
rnacentral:rRNA from 1 species